GUCUAUGGUCAUGCUACCUUGAAUGUGCCCGAUCUCGUCUGAUUUCAGAAGCUAAGCAGGGCUGGGCCUGGUUAGUACUUGGAUGGGAGACCACCUAGAAAUACCAGGUGCUAUAGGCG
rnacentral:rRNA from 1 species